rnacentral:rRNA from 1 species
CACCAGGUUGAUUCUGCCUGACGUGGACGCUAGUCUCACAGAUUUAGCCAUGCAUGUGUAAGCGAAGCUUAUAGUGGAGCGGUAUACGGCUCAGUAACGGGCGAUUUAUUUGUUCUCCUGGGACGGACAACAUCGGGAAACUGAUGGGAAAACGCCUAAGUUGCAGUUAAUUGACUGUGACGUAAACCUUUGUGUGCAGGAGAGUAAGAUGCCAUCCUAUCAGUUAGUAAGUAGGGUAAGGGCCUACUUAGACGAAGACGGGUACGGGGAAUGAGGGUUUGAUUCCGGAGAGGGAGCCUGAGAGAUGGCUACCAGGACCAAGGUCAGCAGCAGGCGCGAAAAUUAUCGAAGCCCGCCUAGGGGCGAUAGUGAGGAGACGUGUAUAACGAAGUACGUGUAAAGAACGUGCUAAUAACUGGAGGUCAAGUCUGGUGCCAGCAUCCGCGGUAAUUCCAGCUCCAGGGGUGUCUAUGAUGAUUGCUGCGAUUAAAAAGUCCGUAGUCAAUCUGACUGACUGACCUGCAAUGUGAUUGAUUAAAGAACGAGCAGGGUUAGGAAAGCAGAGAAUUAGGAGCGACCGAGGGCUAGAGUAUUGAAUGGCGAGAGGUGAAAUUUGAUGACCCAUUCAGGAGUGACAAAGGCGAAGGCACUAGUCAAGGGCGAAUCCGAUGAUCAAGGACGUAGGCUAGAGUUUCGAAAACGAUUAGAGACCGGAGUAGUUCUAGCAGUAAACUAUGCCGACGCCGUGGUAUCAACAAUGGUAUUGCGGAAGAGAAAUCAAGUAAGGCUUUGGGGAGAGUACGCGCGCAAGCGAU